rnacentral:rRNA from 1 species
AUUAAACGCUGGCGGCAGGCCUAACACAUGCAAGUCGAACGCGUGGCGGACGGGUGAGUAAUGUGUGGGAAACUGCCCGAUGGAGGGGGAUACCGACUGGAAACGGUAGCUAAUACCCCAUACCCUCGGCUGUGCCCCGAUGGGAUUAGAGAGUAGGUGGGGUAACGGCUCACCUAGGCGACGAUCACUAGCUGGUCUGAGAGGAUGACCAGCCACACUGGAACUGAGACACGGUCCAGACUCCUACGGGAGGCAGCAGUGGGGAAUAUUGCACAAUGGGCGCAAGCCUGAUGCAGCCAUGCCGCGUGUAUGAAGAAGGCCUUCGGGUUGUAAAGUACUUUCAGCGAGGAGGCGUUACUCGCAGAAGAAGCACCGGCUAACUCCGUGCCAGCAGCCGCGGUAAUAC